ensembl:lncRNA
GUCUGCAUUUUUUAAAUGAACAACCUUAUGCUUGAAAAAUAACAACUGCACUUUGUUGCAUAUUAAAAUAAGUAAUCACAUUUUUCUCUAGUGAACAUUGUAGUAAAAUGAAGGGAAGAGAAAAGUGAAAUAAAGGCUAACAUCAGAAUUGUUGACCUCUAAAGAAACAAACUUCUUCGUGAUCAAACUGUGCUGUGAUACAGAAAAGCUCUUGUCUCUGGAGAAAAAGCUUAAGGAAAUUACUAUGGCAUGGUACUAUCUGUUACAAUACAGUUACAGCAGAACAGUAUCUGAAUGUGUAAUAAAAAGUGAAGUAAUAAACUUGAAUAGCUCUGCACUAUACUUAAAAAUAACUUAUUUUGGACCACUUAUUCACUGCAGAAAGAACAGAUAUUCAGGAAUGAGAUUCUGGCAGUGAUGUUCAAAACCACCUCACAUAACUGUUUUUGUCUCAAGCAUAUUUUCAGUCUUAUAGUCUCAAAUUCCCAGGCAUCCCAAGUCACUGGAGUGCAUGCCCAGACCUCUACCUCUCUCACCCUCACUUUGUGCAAUAUGGCAGCAUGUGCUGGGCUCAGCCUUUCAGGGAGAGGACCAGCAGGUGAGCUGGAGGUGGUGAUACAGGAAUAGGGCCUCUGGUGUGUGGAGGUGACUCUGACAGGGAGCUGACGCUGCUGCCGGCCUGAUGGACCAUCCUCGAAUAUUAGACAUUGCUGCUGGCUUCAGGACACACCUCUCCCAGCCUACCCUGAAUCCCCCACUUCAAAGAAACUGACUCUUUGCCAGAGGAGCCAACAGGAAUAUUUUUUGGCUUUGUCUGAGCUGCUGUUUAUUUUCUAUUUUGGCUAUGCUCCCUCGUGAUAAAAGCAGCCUUUGAUACAAGUGCAGCAGCACUUAAUGUGCAUCUCCUGUUCCUCCUGGCACAUCCCUCUCUAGAUACAUCUCUGAGCAUCUCUGCUUCUUGUUAGGUUUUUGCUUCUAGUUCUCUAACAACUGUUUCUCUGUUCUGUAAAUCACUUUUAGCGCCAUGCCAACAUUGUUUCUAUGUAGGCUCCCUAAAGGUUCAAUUAUCUGCCACUGCAUUCCCUGUAAACAUCUGUACACCCAAGUUAGGACUGAAGAGAAAAAAACUGCUGUACUGGAUGGUUUAGAAGAGACACCAUACUGAGACAAAUGCUUACAGUAAAAGAAAACAAUUUGAUCUCUGAAUCAAUACAGGAGCAUUCGGCACAUCCCAGACGCAUUUCACCAAGGCAAAUCCUGAGCUUUUUUUAAAGUCAGAUCCAUUUCAAGAGUGACUCCCGUCAUACCUGUGCAGUUAAUAAUUGUCUUGCUUUAACAUUGAAGUACUUCUGUGUUAAAAGCCCUUCUGGGUUUUCUGAAUAAAUCCCAAUAAUCUGUAUUUAUGCAUCUGUCCCCAGUCCAAAAGCAUCACAAUUCUUAAAAUAUGCAAUUUAGUUAGUAUAAGUGAACCCUAUUGAGGUCUCUAUUUUUCAAGCUGUAUUUCUAGAGUGUGCUUGAAGGGCAGUCACUCUACCCCACAUUUGAAGAUGCCCUUUCUCCAACAGUUCACUUGGUGCUAAAUGGGAGAUACCAUAAGUCCACUACAUUAUUCUCAAAUACUUCAGUCAUAGCUGAAAUGUUUCCUGCCAGUAGGUUAAAUAUGGGUUACCUCUGAUAGCCCCUUUUGGACAGAAGGUCCUUAACAUUUGAUGCAACCUAAGAAUCCAAAAUUU